AGCCGAGCCGAGAACGCUCUCCGGCGACACCGUGAUUCACGGCAUCAGUCCACGUAUCAAGCUCAACUGAGCUUCGAGCCAGAGCGAUGGGGGGGUUAGCGACCAGCUACUGAAUAUGUCCUUGAUGACUGGAAGAGAAUUGGGCAACCGCCGUUUCUCGGUGCUAUAACGUAAUGAUUAGUUGAUCGUUAAAUUAUCGAUCGAUUACCGAGUAAUUGAUAUACCGGUAAUCAUUUCA